ACAGGCUGGGGCACCAAGAUGGAGUCACAGACCCAGGCCUUCAUAUUCCUGCUCCUCUGGAUAUCUGGUGCUGAGGGGAACAUUGUGAUGACCCAGUCUCCUGAAUUCAUGUCCAUAUCUACAGGAGACAGGAUUACCAUAAGCUGCAAAUCUAGCCAGAGUGUGAAAAGUUAUGUAGCUUGGUACCAGCAAAAAUUAGGGGAGCCUCCUAAACUGCUAAUUUAUGGUGCAUCCACUCGCCCCUCUGGGGUCCCUGAUCACUUCACAGGCAGUGGAUCUGGGACAGAUUAUAUUUUCACUAUCAGCAGUGUGCAGCCUGAAGACUCUGCAGUUUAUUACUGUCAGCAGGGUUACAGAACUCCCACAGUGCUUCAGCCCCCAACACUAACUCUUUAAGAGUCUCACCUGCUGCCUGCACCACACACAGCCCUGGCCCUGCACACUUCCCCUUUCUGCCUGAGAUCUGCUAUGCAUGACUAAUUGAUUCACUGUUCAUCAGAAAAUUAAUAAAGAG